UAUGUGCAAAUGAAAUUCCCUCUGAGUGAAAGACUAUACGUGUAAUUCAAGGAAAUGAUAGUAAGGCAAUGACACAGACUGACACAGUGUUCAUCUGGUUCAUGCCUCACACGUUCAGAAAAGCCAAGGCAAGGCCAGGCUGAUGCCAGCAAUGCAAUCCAGAUGGCAGUAAACCAAGAAACGGAGCCAUUACUCCCUGUCUCCCAGGGUCUGAAUAAGCAGGAAGCUGGACUUGAACCCAGGAACUCCAUGAUAUGGGAUAUGAAGACAGCUAAUUUAGAGAGAAAAUCUUCUAAUUAGUUCAGUUUCCUCUGAUUAUAUUUCAAAAUAUUUAACCCAAAACAGGAAGAUAGAAGAAGAAAAUACAAGGGAAAUUAUCACAGGAAGUGAGGAAAAUGAAGAGUGCGGGCUGCUGAUCAGACAAGAUGACCAUCAAAUCUACAUUCAGAUCAACACUGACAAUCUGGGAAUCUUAGGAGGAAUAUUCAGUGUUUGCCCUUGGGGCUUGAAUCCCAGACUUUAAUUACAGUUAACUUAAAUAAAAACA